GAUGAACGCYGGCGGCGUGCYUAACACAUGCAAGUCGAACGAAGCACUUGUAUUUGAUUCUUCGGAUGAAGAUACUUGUGACUGAGUGGCGGACGGGUGAGUAAYGCGUGGGUAACCUGCCUCAUACAGGGGGAUAACAGUUAGAAAUGGCUGCUAAUACCGCAUAAGCACACAGUGUUGCAUGACACAGUGUGAAAAACUCCGGUGGUAUGAGAUGGACCCGCGUCUGAUUAGCUGGUUGGUGGGGUAACGGCCUACCAAGGCGACGAUCAGUAGCYGACCUGAGAGGGUGACCGGCCACAUUKGGACUGAGACACGGCCCAAACUCCUACGGGAGGCAGCAGUGGGGAAUAUUGCACAAUGGGGGAAACCCUGAUGCAGCGACGCCGCGUGAGCGAAGAAGUAYUUCGGUAUGUAAAGCUCUAUCAGCAGGGAAGAAGAGACGGACCWRYUUU
rnacentral:rRNA from 1 species